ACUUUGGUAAACAAGUAAGGUUCAAUGUUGAAAAAGAAAAAUACAACUUUACCAAAUUAAUCGACUUUUCACGUUCCAUCAAAAUUAGUCUACCUUUUAGACUUUACAACUUGCCUUAACUGUACGCUCCCUCAUCGAUUUCAUUCUCUGUUUGUAUCCGAUUUGAUUUCUUUCGCCGUUUUUCAUCCGCAUCCGUUUUGAUUCUGUUCGACUCUGUUCUCUACCUUACGCCACCGUUUUGAUUAGGUUCUCUGCCAUUUUGAUUAUUUAUAGUGUACUCUUGUAUAGAUUUGUUUAUCUAAUCUCAAGGGUGGGUUAUUGCUUGGUUUAUCUAAUCUCACUAGUGGAAAUGAUGAGACUGAUGGAUGAGGCUUUCUCGUCUAUUGAGGGAUCCAUUUCAGAAGAAGCUCUUGAAAACGUCUGAGCUGCUUUAGGAACAGAUGAAUCUCCCCAGGAACACAUGAGGCGCAACUGGUCUAUUUGAAUAAGGUCUUUUGGGAAAUUAGACCAGUUGAUAAUGUUUCAGUGCAUUGUUUGAAAUUAGACUUUUGGGAAAAAUGGGAGAGAUGAAUCUCCUUAGGAACACAAACCACCUAUUAAGUACAUUCGUCUUCAUGAGUGUGACAAAUUUUCUGUAAGGAUAUAGAUUUUUUUUCUGUAUUCUGCAUCUUGUCCCUGUUUACUCUUUGUUACUCUAUUUGAAUAUAUUUUUAUCUUGGAUUGGACCAUGAAUUUUAGAUUCUCAAGGGAUGAGGUUUAAAUUUGCUUCAGUGUGAUGAUUAUAAGUUUUCAGCUUUUGAAUGUGUGUUAAUCUUGUAAUUCUUUUUGUGUGAAAGAGUGUCUUUUAUCUUCUUAAUUUUUGAGUUAAUUUUACCUAUUCUUUUUAGUUGUGUAAUUUAAUUGAAUGAAUGUAGAGUGCCUUUUUUAUCUUAUAAUAACUAGUUUUGUUUGGAGCUUUCAA